AGACAGCAGAGGUAAGUCAAUAUUACAUACAUGUUAUUCAGGACCGUGCUUUAGACAGCAGAGGUUAGUCAAUAUUACAAACAUGUUAUUCAGGGCCAGGGUUUAGACAGCAGAGAUUAGUCAAUAUUACAAACAUAUUAUUCAGGGCCAGGGUUUAGACAGCAGAGGUUAGUCAAUAUUACAAACAUGUUAUUCAGGGCCAGGGUUUAGACAGCAGAGAUUAGUCAAUAUUACAAACAUAUUAUUCAGGGCCAGGGUUUAGACAGCAGAGAUUAGUCAAUAUUACAAACAUGUUAUUCAGGGCCAGGGUUUAGACAGCAGAGGUUAGUCAAUAUUACAUACAUGUUAUUCAGGGCCAGGGUUUAGACAGCAGAGGUUAGUCACUAUUACAAACAUGUUAUUCAGGGCCGUGCUUUAGACAGCAGAGGUAAGUCAAUAUUACAUACAUGUUAUUCAGGCCCAGGGUUUAGACAGCAGAGGUUAGUCAAUAUUACAAACAUGUUAUUCAGGGCCAGGGUUUAGACAGCAGAGGUUAGUCACUAUUACAUACAUGUUAUUCAGGGCCAGGGUUUAGACAGCAGAGGUUAGUCAAUAUUACAAACAUGUUAUUCAGAGCCAGGGUUUAGACAGCAGAGGUUAGUCAAUAUUACAUAGACAUUAUUCAGGGCCAGGCUUUAGACAGCAGAGGUUAGUCACUAUUACAUACAUGUUAUUCAGGGCCAGGGUUUAGACAGCAGAGGUUGGUCAAUAUUACAAACAUGUUAUUCAGGGCCAGGGUUUAGACAGCAGAGGUUAGUCACUAUUACAUACAUGUUAUUCAGGGCCAGGGUUUAGACAGCAGAGGUUAGUCAAUAUUACAUAGACAUUAUUCAGGGCCAGGGUUUAGACAGCAGAGGUUAGUCAAUAUUACAAACAUGUUAUUCAGGGCCAGGGUUUAGACAGCAGAGGUUAGUCAAUAUUACAUACAUGUUAUUCAGGGCCAGGGUUUAGACAGCAGAGGUUAGUCAAUAUUACAUACAUGUUAUUCAGGGCCGUGCUUUAGACAGCAGAGGUUGGUCAAUAUUACAUACAUGUUAUUCAGGGCCAGGGUUUAGACAGCAGAGGUUAGUCAAUAUUAUAUACAUGUUAUUCAGGCCAGGGUUUAGACAGCAGAGGUUAGUCAAUAUUACAUACAUGUUAUUCAGGGCCAGGGUUUAGACAGCAGAGGUUAGUCAAUAUUACAAACAUGUUAUUCAGGGCCAGGGUUUAGACAGCAGAGGUUGGUCAAUAUUACAAACAUGUUAUUCAGGGCCAGGGUUUAGACAGCAGAGGUUAGUCAAUAUUACAUACAUGUUAUUCAGGGCCAUGUUUUAGACAGCAGAGAUUAGUCAAUAUUACAUACAUGUUAUUCAGGGCCAGGGUUUAGACAGCAGAGGUUAGUCAAUAUUACAUACAUGUUAUUCAGGGCCAUGUUUUAGACAGCAGAGGUUAGUCAAUAUUACAAACAUGUUAUUCAGGGCCAUGUUUUAGACAGCAGAGGUUAGUCAAUAUUACAUACAUGUUAUUCAGGGCCAUGUUUUAGACAGCAGAGGUUAGUCACUAUUACAUACAUGUUAUUCAGGACCGUGCUUUAGACAGCAGAGGUUAGUCAAUAUUACAUACAUGUUAUUCAGGACCGUGCUUUAGACAGCAGAGGUUAGUCAAUAUUACAUACAUGUUAUUCAGGGCCAGGGUUUAGACAGCAGAGGUUAGUCAAUAUUACAAACAUGUUAUUCAGGGCCAUGUUUUAGACAGCAGAGGUUAGUCAAUAUUACAAACAUGUUAUUCAGGGCCGUGCUUUAGACAGCAGAGGUUAGUCAAUAUUACAAACAUGUUAUUCAGGGCCAGGGUUUAGACAGCAGAGGUUAGUCAAUAUUACAAACAUGUUAUUCAGGACCGUGCUUUAGACAGCAGAGGUUAGUCAAUAUUACAAACAUGUUAUUCAGGGCCAGGGUUUAGACAGCAGAGGUUAGUCAAUAUUACAAACAUGUUAUUCAGGACCGUGCUUUAGACAGCAGAGGUUAGUCAAUAUUACAAACAUGUUAUUCAGGGCCAGGGUUUAGACAGCAGAGGUUAGUCAAUAUUACAUACAUGUUAUUCAGGGCCAGGGUUUAGACAGCAGAGGUUAGUCAAUAUUACAUACAUGUUAUUCAGGGCCAGGGUUUAGACAGCAGAGGUUAGUCAAUAUUACAAACAUGUUAUUCAGGGCCAGGGUUUAGACAGCAGAGGUUAGUCAAUAUUACAUACAUGUUAUUCAGGGCCAGGGUUUAGACAGCAGAGGUUAGUCAAUAUUACAAACAUGUUAUUCAGGGCCAGGGUUUAGACAGCAGAGGUUAGUUAAUAUUACAUACAUGUUAUUCAGGGCCAGGGUUUAGACAGCAGAGGUUAGUCAAUAUUACAUACAUGUUAUUCAGGGCCAGGGUUUAGACAGCAGAGGUUAGUCAAUAUUACAUACAUGUUAUUCAGGGCCAGGGUUUAGACAGCAGAGGUUGGUCAAUAUUACAAACAUGUCAUUCAGGGUCAUGUUUUAGACAGCAGAGGUUAGUCAAUAUUACAUACAUGUUAUUCAGGGCCAGGGUUUAGACAGCAGAGGUUAGUCAAUAUUACAUACAUGUUAUUCAGGGCCAUGUUUUAGACAGCAGAGGUUAGUCAAUAUUACAUACAUGUUAUUCAGGGCCAGGGUUUAGACAGCAGAGGUUAGUCAAUAUUACAUACAUGUUAUUCAGGGCCAGGGUUUAGACAGCAGAGGUUAGUCAAUAUUACAUACAUGUUAUUCAGGGCCAGGGUUUAGACAGCAGAGGUUAGUCAAUAUUACAUACAUGUUAUUCAGGGCCAUGUUUUAGACAGCAGAGGUUAGUCAAUAUUACAUACAUGUUAUUCAGGGCCAUGUUUUAGACAG